rnacentral:rRNA from 1 species
AGUGAACGCUGGCGGUAGGCCUAACACAUGCCAGUCGAACGGCAGCACAGUAAGAGCUUGCUCUUACGGGUGGCGAGUGGCGGACGGGUGAGGAAUACAUCGGAAUCUAUUUUUUCGUGGGGGAUAACGUAGGGAAACUUACGCUAAUACCGCAUACGACCUACGGGUGAAAGCAGGGGAUCUUCGGACCUUGCGCGAUUGAAUGAGCCGAUGUCGGAUUAGCUAGUUGGCGGGGUAAAGGCCCACCAAGGCGACGAUCCGUAGCUGGUCUGAGAGGAUGAUCAGCCACACUGGAACUGAGACACGGUCCAGACUCCUACGGGAGGCAGCAGUGGGGAAUAUUGGACAAUGGGCGCAAGCCUGAUCCAGCCAUACCGCGUGGGUGAAGAAGGCCUUCGGGUUGUAAAGCCCUUUUGUUGGGAAAGAAAAGCAGCAGGUUAAUACCCCGCUGUUCUGACGGUACCCAAAGAAUAAGCACCGGCUAACUUCGUG